rnacentral:rRNA from 1 species
GCCCAGCCGUAAACAAUUGAAUCACAACCAUAAGCGCCAGGGAAUUACGAGCCAAGCUUAAAACCCAAAGGAUUUGACGGUGUCCCACCCCCCUAGAGGAGCCUGUUCUAUAAUCGAUGAUCCCCGCUACACCCGACCAUUUCUUGCUUAUCAGUCUGUAUACCUCCGUCGAAAGCCUACCAUGUGAACGCCCCCACAGUAGGUUCAAUGAUCCCCGUCAAUACGUCAGGUCAAGGUGCAGCUUAAGAAAUGGGAAGUGAUGGGCUACAAUUUCUAACCUAGAACAAACGAAAGGCUAUGUGAAAUCAUAGUCACGAAGGCGGAUUUAGUAGUAAAAAGAAAAUAGAGUGUUCUUUAACCUGGCUCUGGGACGCGUACACACCGCC